rnacentral:rRNA from 1 species
CCUACGGGUGGCAGCAGUGGGGAAUAUUGGACAAUGGGGGGAACCCUGAUCCAGCCAUGCCGCGUGUGUGAAGAAGGCCCUCGGGUUGUAGAGCACUUUCAGUGAGGAAGAACGCCUGGUGGUUAAUACCCAUCAGGAAAGACAUCACUCACAGAAGAAGCACCGGCUAACUCCGUGCCAGCAGCCGCGGUAAUACGGAGGGUGCGAGCGUUAAUCGGAAUUACUGGGCGUAAAGCGCGCGUAGGUGGCUUGAUAAGCCGGUUGUGAAAGCCCCGGGCUCAACCUGGGAACGGCAUCCGGAACUGUCAAGCUAGAGUGCAGGAGAGGAAGGUAGAAUUCCCGGUGUAGCGGUGAAAUGCGUAGAGAUCGGGAGGAAUACCAGUGGCGAAGGCGGCCUUCUGGACUGACACUGACACUGAGGUGCGAAAGCGUGGGUAGCAAACAGGAUUAGAUACCCCGGUAGUC